CGCGGGGUGGAGAAGUGGUAUCUCGUCGGGCUCAUAACCCGAAGGUCGCAGGUUCAAAUCCUGCCCCCGCAACCA
rnacentral:tRNA from 7 species